rnacentral:rRNA from 1 species
ACUCCUACGGGAGGCAGCAGUGGGGGAAUAUUGGACAAUGGGCGAAAGCCUGAUCCAGCCAUGCCGCGUGUGUGAAGAAGGUCUUCGGAUUGUAAAGCACUUUAAGUUGGGAGGAAGGGCAGUAAGUUAAUACCUUGCUGUUUUGACGUUACCAACAGAAUAAGCACCGGCUAACUUCGUGCCAGCAGCCGCGGUAAUACGAAGGGGUGCAAGCGUUAAUCGGAAUUACUGGGCGUAAAGCGCGCGUAGGUGGUUCAGCAAGUUGGAUGUGAAAUCCCCGGGGCUCAACCUGGGAACUGCAUCCAAAACUACUGAGCUAGAGUACGGUAGAGGGUGGUGGAAUUUCCUGUGUAGCGGUGAAAUGCGUAGAUAUAGGAAGGAACACCAGUGGCGAAGGCGGCCACCUGGACUGAUACUGACACUGAGGUGCGAAAGCGUGGGGA